GACGAACCGUGCAAACGUUGUUCGGAUUGACUGGGCGUAAAGGGCGCGUAGGCGGUUCGUACAGUCAGACGUGAAAUUCCUGGGCUCAACCUGGGGCUGCGUUUGAUACGUGCGGACUUGAGUGCGGAAGAGGGUCGUGGAAUUCCCAGUGUAGAGGUGAAAUUCGUAGAUAUUCGGAAGAACACCAGUGGCGAAGGCGACUUACUGGACACAUAUUGACGCUGAGGUGCGAAAGCGUGGGGAGCAAACAGG
rnacentral:rRNA from 1 species